rnacentral:rRNA from 1 species
GACGGCAGCACGGGAGCUUGCUCCUGGUGGCGAGUGGCGAACGGGUGAGUAAUACCUAGGAACAUGUCCAGUAAUGGGGGAUAACGCAGCGAAAGCUGUGCUAAUACCGCAUACGCCCUACGGGGGAAAGCGGGGGAUUCGCAAGAACCUCGCGUUAUUGGAGUGGCCUAGGCCUGAUUAGCUAGUUGGUGAGGUAAAGGCUCACCAAGGCGACGAUCAGUAGCUGGUCUGAGAGGAUGAUCAGCCACACUGGAACUGAGACACGGUCCAGACUCCUACGGGAGGCAGCAGUGGGGAAUUUUGGACAAUGGGGGAAACCCUGAUCCAGCCAUUCCGCGUGAGUGAAGAAGGCCUUCGGGUUGUAAAGCUCUUUCCGGAGGGAAGAAACGGUUACGGAUAAUACCUGUGACUAAUGACGGUACCUUCAGAAGAAGCACCGGCUAACUACGUGCCAGCAGCCGUGGUAAUACGUAGGGUGCGAGCGUUAAUCGGAAUUACUGGGCGUAAAGCGUGCGCAGGCGGUUUUGUAAGUCAGAUGUGAAAGCCCCGGGCUCAACCUGGGAACUGCGUUUGAAACUACAAGGCUAGAGUGUAGCAGAGGAGGGUAGAAUUCCACGUGUAGCAGUGAAAUGCGUAGAGAUGUGGAGGAAUACCGAUGGCGAAAGCAGCCCCCUGGGUUAACACUGACGCUCAUGUACGAAAGCGUGGGGAGCAAACAGGAUUAGAUACCC